rnacentral:rRNA from 1 species
UGGGGAAUAUUGGACAAUGGGCGCAAGCCUGAUCCAGCCAUGCCGCGUGAGUGAUGAAGGCCUUAGGGUUGUAAAGCUCUUUCGCCGGUGAAGAUAAUGACGGUAACCGGAGAAGAAGCCCCGGCUAACUUCGUGCCAGCAGCCGCGGUAAUACGAAGGGGGCUAGCGUUGCUCGGAAUCACUGGGCGUAAAGCGCACGUAGGCGGAUCGUUAAGUCAGGGGUGAAAUCCUGGAGCUCAACUCCAGAACUGCCCUUGAUACUGGCGAUCUCGAGUUCGAGAGAGGUUGGUGGAACUCCGAGUGUAGAGGUGAAAUUCGUAGAUAUUCGGAAGAACACCAGUGGCGAAGGCGGCCAACUGGCUCGAUACUGACGCUGAGGUGCGAAAGCGUGGGGAGCAAAACAGGAUUAGAUACCCUGGUAGUCCACGCCGUAAACGAUGGAUGCUAGCCGUUGGGGGGUUUACCUCUCAGUGGCGCAGCUAACGCCUUAAGCAUCCCGCCUGGGGAGUACGGUCGCAAGAUUAAAACUUAAAGGAAUUGACGGGGUCAUAGCUGUUUCCU